rnacentral:rRNA from 1 species
UCCUACGGGAGGCAGCAGUGGGGAAUUUUGGACAAUGGGCGCAAGCCUGAUCCAGCAAUGCCGCGUGCAGGAUGAAGGCCUUCGGGUUGUAAACUGCUUUUGUACGGAACGAAACGGUCUCUUCUAAUACAAGGGGCUAAUGACGGUACCGUAAGAAUAAGCACCGGCUAACUACGUGCCAGCAGCCGCGGUAAUACGUAGGGUGCGAGCGUUAAUCGGAAUUACUGGGCGUAAAGCGUGCGCAGGCGGUUAUAUAAGACAGAUGUGAAAUCCCCGGGCUCAACCUGGGCACUGCAUUUGUGACUGUAUAGCUAGAGUACGGUAGAGGGGGAUGGAAUUCCGCGUGUAGCAGUGAAAUGCGUAGAUAUGCGGAGGAACACCGAUGGCGAAGGCAGGUCUCUGGGCCACUACUGACGCUGAGAAGCGAAAGCAUGGGGAGCGAACAGGAUUAGAUACCCUGGUAGUCCAUGCCGUAAACGUUGGGAACUAGGUGUGGGCCUCAUUCCACGAGGUCCGUGCCGCAGCUAACGCAUUAAGUUCCCCGCCUGGGGAGUACGGCCGCAAGGCUAAAACUCAAAGGAAUUGACGGGGGCCCGCACAAGCGGCGGAGCAUGCGGAUUAAUUCGAUGCAACGCGAAGAACCUUACCAAGGCUUGACAUGUGCCGGAAAAGUGCAGAGAUGUGCUCCCCGCAAGGUCGGUACACAGGUGGUGCAUGGUUGUCGUCAGCUCGUGUCGUGAGACGUUGGGUUAAGUCCCGCAACGAGCGCAACCCUCGUUCUAUGUUGCCAGCACGUGAUGGUGGGGACUCAUAGGAGACUGCCGGGGUCAACUCGGAGGAAGGUGGGGAUGACGUCAAAUCAUCAUGCCCCUUAUGUCUUGGGCUUCACGCAUGCUACAAUGGCCAGUACAAAGGGCUGCGAUACCGCGAGGUGGAGCGAAUCCCAAAAAACUGGUCUCAGUUCGGAUUGGGGUCUGCAACUCGACCCCAUGAAGUCGGAGUCGCUAGUAAUCGCAGAUCAGCAACGCUGCGGUGAAUACGUUCCCGGGCCUUGUACACACCGCCAU